rnacentral:rRNA from 1 species
AGGAGCAUGUGGUUAAUUCGAUGAUACGCGAGGAACCUACCUGGGCUCGAACGUAAGAUGACUGUAGGUGAAAGCUUACAUCUCUUCGGAGCAUUUUACGAGGUGCUGCAUGGUUGUCGUCAGCUCGUGCCGUGAGGUGUCGGGUUAAGUCCCAUAACGAGCGCAACCCCUACCUUAGUUGCCAUCAGGUUAAGCUGGGGACUCUAAAGGAACUGCCUACGCAAGUAGUGAGGAAGGCGGGGAUGACGUCAAAUCAGCACGGCCCUUACGUCCAGGGCUACACACGUGCUACAAUGGCCGAUACAGAGGGCAGCUACCUGGUGACAGGAUGCAAAUCUCCAAAGUCGGUCUCAGUUCGGAUCGGAGUCUGCAACCCGACUCCGUGAAGUUGGAUUCGCUAGUAAUCGCGCAUCAGCCAUGGCGCGGUGAAUACGUUCCCGGGCCUU